rnacentral:rRNA from 1 species
AGAGUUUGAUCAUGGCUCAGAAUGAACGCUGGCGGCGUGCUUAACACAUGCAAGUCGUACGAGAACGCUUCAGCUUGCUGAAGCAAGUAAAGUGGCGCACGGGUGAGUAACGCGUGGGUAAUCUACCCUCGAAUCGGGGAUAACUCCGCGAAAGCGGGGCUAAUACCGGAUAAUAUUUUUAUGGUUCAGGCUUUAAAAAUCAAAGGUGGCCUCUUCAUGAAAGCUACCGUUCGAAGAUGAGCCCGCGUACCAUUAGCUUGUUGGUGGGGUAAUGGCCCACCAAGGCCACGAUGGUUAGCUGGUCUGAGAGGAUGACCAGCCACACUGGAACUGACACACGGUCCAGACUCCUACGGGAGGCAGCAGUGAGGAAUUUUGCGCAAUGGGGGAAACCCUGACGCAGCAACGCCGCGUGAGUGAUGAAGGCUUUCGGGUCGUAAAGCUCUGUCAGGUGGGAAGAAUCUGUGCCGUACCAAUACUACGGUACACUGACGGUACUACUGAAGGAAGCACCGGCUAACUCCGUGCCAGCAGCCGUGGUAAUACGGGGGGUGCAAGCGUUAUUCGGAAUCAUUGGGCGUAAAGAGCACGUAGGCGGCCUGGUAAGUCAGAUGUGAAAGCCCGGGGCUUAACCCCGGAAGUGCAUUUGAUACUGCCAGGCUUGAGUAUGGGAGAGGGAAGUGGAAUUCCUGGUGUAGAGGUGAAAUUCGUAGAUAUCAGGAGGAACACCGGUGGCGAAGGCGACUUCCUGGACCAAUACUGACGCUGAGGUGCGAAGGCGUGGGUAGCAAACAGGAUUAGAUACCCUAGUAGUCC